GAUGAACGCUGGCGGCGUGCCUAAUACAUGCCAGUCGAGCGAACAGACGAGGAGCUUGCUCCUCUGACGUUAGCGGCGGACGGGUGAGUAACACGUGGAUAACCUACCUAUAAGACUGGGAUAACUUCGGGAAACCGGAGCUAAUACCGGAUAAUAUAUUGAACCGCAUGGUUCAAUAGUGAAAGACGGUUUUGCUGUCACUUAUAGAUGGAUCCGCGCCGCAUUAGCUAGUUGGUAAGGUAACGGCGUACCAAGGCAACGAUGCGUAGCCGACCUGGGGGGGGGUUCGGCCACACUGGAACUGAGCCAGGGUCCAGACUCCUACGGGAGGCAGCGGUAGGGAAUCUUCCGCAAUGGGCGAAAGCCUGACGGAGCAACGCCGCGUGAGUGAUGAAGGUCUUCGGAUCGUAAAACUCUGUUAUUAGGGAAGAACAAAUGUGUAAGUAACUAUGCACGUCUUGACGGUACCUAAUCAGAAAGCCACGGCUAACUACGUG
rnacentral:rRNA from 1 species